rnacentral:lncRNA from 1 species
UGGCAUACAAGUUUAAUCAUCCUUUUGUGUUGUCGUUUUUAUCCAUAUUAUCAAUAUCUAAUUUAUAUGUACAUCAGCUUAAAAAAAUAUGGUUGUAAAUUAUUGCACAUGAUUAAUAUCUGUAUUUAUGUUUGCAAAUUACAAAUAGACACAGAUAUCAAUAUAUUGAUACUUUGGUUCCAUCUCAUCUAUUUUCAGCCUAGCCACCAUCAAAUUUUGUCCCUGAGCCUCAGAUAAUCCCAACUCUAACUUGGAAUCAAUUGUGAGCUGUUUUAAAGGUUGAAGUUGGUUUAUUUAGCGUCAAACCGAGUUUGACUCACGCCAUUCUCAACUCUCAAGCUGCCCUGUUCAUUCGACCGGCCCUCGGUUUUUUUAAUUUAAAAACCAACGGUCUCUC